rnacentral:rRNA from 1 species
UACGUAGGGGGCAAGCGUUGUCCGGAUUCAUUGGGCGUAAAGGGCGUGUAGGCGGCCAGGUAGGUCGGUUGUGAAAACUGGAGGCUCAACCUUCAGAGGUCGACCGAAACCAUCUGGCUAGAGUCCGGGAGAGGAGAGUGGAAUUCCUGGUGUAGCGGUGAAGUGCGCAGAUAUCAGGAAGAACACCCGUGGCGAAAGCGGCUCUCUGGAACGGUACUGACGCUGAGACGCGAAAGCGUGGGGAGCGAACAGG